UGACGCUGGCGGCAGGCCUACCAUGCAAGUCGAGCGGAUAGAGGUAGCUUGCUCUGAUCUUAGCGGCGGACGGGUGAGUAAUGCUUAGGAAUCUGCCUAUUAGUGGGGGACAACAUUUCGAAAGGAACGCUAAUACCGCAUACGUCCUACGGGAGAAAGCAGGGGAUCUUCGGGCCUUGCGCUAUUAGAUGAGCCUAAGUCGGAUUAACCUAGUUGGGGGGGUAARGGCCUACGGAGGGG
rnacentral:rRNA from 1 species